rnacentral:lncRNA from 1 species
CGCAAACAUUCUUUUUUUUUUUUUUUUUUUUGUCUUUUUCAGAUAGGGUCUCAAUAUGCAGCUCAGGCUGGCCUUGUUCUCACUUUGUAGCCCAGGCUGUUCUCGAACUUGCACCGAUCCGCCUGCCUCAGCCUCCCAAGUGCUGGGAUUACAGGCAUGCGCCACCACACCCAGCCCUGUGCAAACAUUCUACUUGUGUGGUUUUAUCAGGUCUCAUGACUGAUCAGCUGAGAAAGCAAGAAGACAGAGAAGCCAGACGCCAUACUACUAAAGCUCAGUUCUUUCUCAUUCCACCCCUCGCCUGGCCUCUCUCAACAAACACCCAUGAUGUCAGAUUAUUCAUUAAAUAACUGAUAUCAGAUACUCAUGGAAAAUUCUUCAGAGUAUGUAGUAUUAACCUCAUUCUGGGGGGAUGACAUAGAAGCAUGGAACUAAAUGACUUGGGGAAUCAUGGACACAGCAAAUGGCAGAAACAAGAUGAAUGGAG